UGUGUAAAAAACAGCUGAUCAUUUCUGCGAGCCGCGUUUUGCAUUCUGUGGCAUAUAAAUCUGCGAGACGAAUGUAAUUAUGACUACUGAGGAGCAAUUUCGUCGCUGAAGGAUAUGGCAAGCUGCGAUGAACAAGGAUAAAUCGCAACAUUCUUGUCGUAAGUGUCUUCAAUACAUCACGAGAUUUGUCUACAUCAUCUGGAGCUUCUCGAUGAAGUGAGGGGCUGGCGUUCGGCUACCCUGGCAGUCGUUGUGCCUUGAACUCCUCAGUCUUUGCUGUCACCACCUCAGUAACCACUAUGGGCAUCAUCAUUUUUUCACAUUUAACUUUUCUUUCUUUAGUGGUGUUUUACUUGCAAGUAAGGUUUUCAAUACAAGUGUGGUGCAUAACAGUGUUCAAUUAUUCACCUUUUCACAGUCAUGAGAGGGUAUCUUCACACAUUACUUUUCCGUGUGCUUGUCGGCCUUCUAAACUGAUGCACACAACAGAUAUCACGUGGCUUCGUUUCAUCAGACAAGCCUGGCAUCAUGUAUAUAUAAUGUUCUAGUAUUAAUUACCCAUUUGACGCAGUGUUUCAUUCAGCAUAAUGUUUCUUGUAAUGUGUGCAACGUUAUAAAUCUCUGAUUUGAGAACAUGACCCCAUGAUUUCACAACGCGAAUUUAUCUACAAAAAGUGUAUGCAUCUUAGCAUUGGCAUGAGCAUGAAUAAAACUUUUUUUACAAUGUC